UGUAAGCGUAUACCAAAGUUGUUGCAGUUAAAACGCUCGUAGUCGGAAUUUGGCAGUUCCGGAAGUGUGCACGUCGUGUGCGCACUUUGCGGGGACUGCUUUUGUGGUCUUGCGUAGGAUGAGGCACUUUCAUUAGUGAACGUCCUCACGCAACCACUCUUUACUGUGAGAAAAUCAGAGUGCUCAAAGCAGGCAUUUGCCGUGAAUGUAUUAGCAUGGAAUAAUGGAAUAGGACUCGGUUCUAUUUUGUUGGUUUGUUGGGACUGAGUAAUGAUUAAGAGGGACAGUUGGGGGCAUUUGUAUUCCGGCGCUAGAGGUGAAAUUCUUAGAUUGCCGGAAGACAAACUGCUGCGAAAGCGUCUGCCAAGGAUGUUUUCAUUGA
rnacentral:rRNA from 1 species